UACGGAGGGUGCAAGCGUUGUUCGGAAUCACUGGGCGUAAAGGGCGCGUAGGCGGCUUGGUAAGUCAGAUGUGAAAGCCCAGGGCUCAACCGUGGAAGUGCAUUUGAAACUGCCAGACUUGAGUACCAGAGGGGAAAGUGGAAUUCCCGGUGUAGAGGUGAAAUUCGUAGAUAUCGGGAGGAAUACCGGUGGCGAAGGCGACUUUCUGGCUCGAUACUGACGCUGAGGCGCGAAAGCGUGGGGAGCAAACAGG
rnacentral:rRNA from 1 species